rnacentral:sRNA from 1 species
GCCGGGCAAGGUGACACACGCCUGUAAUCCCAGCAGCUUGGGAGGCUGAGGCAGGAGCAUCAUGAGUUCAAAGCCAGCCUUAGCAACAGGGAGGUGCUAAGCAACUCAAUGAGACCCUGUCUCUA